rnacentral:rRNA from 1 species
GGUGAACGCUGGCGGCGUGCUUAAGACAUGCAAGUCGAACGGCAGUCUUCGGACUGUAGUGGCGCACGGGUGAGUAACGCGUAACUGACCUACCCCAAAGUCGCGGAUAACGAUUCGAAAGAAUCGCUAAUACGUGAUGUGCUGUCAGAUUGUGUUCUGCCAGUAAAGAUUGAUUGCUUUGGGAUGGGGUUGCGUUCCAUCAGCUAGUUGGUGGGGUAAGGGCCCACCAAGGCGACGACGGAUAGCCGGCCUGAGAGGGUGGCCGGCCACAGGGGCACUGAGACACGGGUCCCACUCCUACGGGAGGCAGCAGUCAGGAAUCUUCCACAAUGGGCGAAAGCCUGAUGGAGCGACGCCGCGUGAGGGAUGAAGGUCUUCGGAUCGUAAACCUCUGAAUCAGGGACGAAAGACACUUCGGUGGGAUGACGGUACCUGAGUAAUAGCACCGGCUAACUCCGUGCCAGCCGCCGCAGUAAGAC